rnacentral:rRNA from 1 species
AGCAGCCGCGGUAAUUCCAGCUCCAAUAGCGUAUAUUAAAGUUGUUGCAGUUAAAAAGCUCGUAGUUGAACUUCAGGCCUGGCUGGACGGUCCGCCUUCCGGGUGAGUACUGUCUGUGGUCGGGUCCUACCUUCUGGCGAAGCGUCAUGGCCUUCACCGGCCGUGGCGGGGAGCCAGGACUUUUACUGUGAAAAAUUAGAGUGUUCAAAGCAGGCACGUGCUUGAAUACAUUAGCAUGGAAUAAUGGAAUAGGACAGUGGUUCUAUUUGUCGGUUUCUAGGACCGUUGUAAUGAUUAAUAGGGAUAGUUGGGGGCAUUAGUAUUCAAUUGUCAGAGGUGAAAUUCUUGGAUUUAUUGAAGACUAACUACUGCGAAAGCAUUUGCCAAGGAUGUUUUCAUUAAUCAAGAACGAAAGUUAGGGGAUCGAAGACGAUCAGAUACCGUCGUAGUCUUAACCAUAAACUAUGCCGACUAAGAAUCGGGCGAUGUUGACGAAAUGACGCGCUCGGGCA